rnacentral:rRNA from 1 species
AUUGAACGCUGGCGGCAGGCUUAACACAUGCAAGUCGAGCGGGGGAAGGUAGCUUGCUACCGGACCUAGCGGCGGACGGGUGAGUAAUGCUUAGGAAUCUGCCUAUUAGUGGGGACCACAAUCCGAAAGGGGAUGCUAUUACGCAUUAGGUCCUAGGGAGAAAAGAGGGGAAUCUUGGAACUUGCGGCAAUAGAUGGGGCCUAGGCGGAUUAGCUAGUUGGGGGGGUAAAGGCCUACCAAGGCGACAAUCCGUAGCGGGUCUGAGAGGAAGAUCCGCCACACUGGGACUGAGACACGGCCCAGACUCCUACGGGAGGCAGCAGUGGGGAAUAUUGGACAAUGGGCGGAAGCCUGAUCCAGCCAUGCCGCGUGUGUGAAGAAGGCCUUAUGGUUGUAAAGCACUUUAAGCGAGGAGGAGGCUACUUAGAUUAAUACUCUAGGAUAGUGGACGUUACUCGCAGAAUAAGCACCGGCUAACUCUGUGCCAGCAGCCGCCGUAA